rnacentral:sRNA from 1 species
UUGAUUUUGGCUCGCGCGGCUUGCGCAU